AUUGAACGCUGGCGGCAUGCCUUACACAUGCAAGUCGAACGGUAACAGGUCUUCGGAUGCUGACGAGUGGCGCACGGGUGAGUAAUACAUCGGAACGUGCCCGAUCGUGGGGGAUAACGAGGCGAAAGCUUUGCUAAUACCGCAUACGAUCUACGGAUGAAAGCGGGGGAUCUUCGGACCUCGCGCGGACGGAGCGGCCGAUGGCAGAUUAGGUAGUUGGUGGGAUAAAAGCUUACCAAGCCGACGAUCUGUAGCUGGUCUGAGAGGAUGAUCAGCCACACUGGGACUGAGACACGGCCCAGACUCCUACGGGAGGCAGCAGUGGGGAAUUUUGGACAAAGGGCGAAAGCCUGAUCCAGCCAUGCCGCGUGCAGGAUGAAGGCCUUUGGGUUGUAAACUGCUUUUGUACGGAACGAAAAGCCUCUUUCUAAUAAAGAGGGGUCAUGACGGUACCGUAAGAAUAAGCACCGGCUAACUACGUG
rnacentral:rRNA from 1 species